rnacentral:rRNA from 1 species
AACCCUGAUGCAGCGACGCCGCGUGAGUGAAGAAGUAUUUCGGUAUGUAAAGCUCUAUCAGCAGGGAAGAAAAUGACGGUACCUGACUAAGAAGCCCCGGCUAACUACGUGCCAGCAGCCGCGGUAAUACGUAGGGGGCAAGCGUUAUCCGGAUUUACUGGGUGUAAAGGGAGCGCAGACGGCUGUGCAAGUCUGGAGUGAAAGGCGGGGGCCCAACCCCCGGACUGCUCUGGAAACUGUAAAGCUGGAGUGCAGGAGAGGUAAGCGGAAUUCCUAGUGUAGCGGUGAAAUGCGUAGAUAUUAGGAGGAACACCAGUGGCGAAGGCGGCUUACUGGACUGCAACUGACGUUGAGGCUCGAAAGCGUGG